rnacentral:rRNA from 1 species
GACUCUCGGCAACGGAUAUCUUGGCUCACGCAUCGAUGAAGAACGUAGCAAAAUGCGAUACUUGGUGUGAAUUGCAGAAUCCCGUGAACCAUCGAGUUUUUGAACGCAAGUUGCGCCCGAAGCCUUUCGGUCGAGGGCACGUCUGCCUGGGCGUCACAC